GCCGGCAUAGCUCAGCGGUAGAGCAGCGGUUUUGUAAACCGAAGGUCGGGGGUUCAAUCCCCUCUGCCGGCA
rnacentral:tRNA from 1 species